rnacentral:tRNA from 1 species
AGGUCAGCGGUUAUUCUGCCCGCCUGAAAAGCGGAAGGUCGGCGGUUCGAUCCCGCCCCUGGCCA